rnacentral:rRNA from 1 species
UACGUAGGGUGCAAGCGUUGUCCGGAAUUAUUGGGCGUAAAGAGCUCGUGGGCGGUUCGUCGCGUCGGCUGUGAAAUCCCGAGGCUCAACCUCGGGUCUGCAGUCGAUACGGGCGGACUGGAGUUCGGCAGGGGAGACUGGAAUUCCUGGUGUAGCGGUGAAAUGCGCAGAUAUCAGGAGGAACACCGGUGGCGAAGGCGGGUCUCUGGGCCGAUACUGACGCUGAGGAGCGAGAGCGUGGGGAGCGAACAGG